UACGGGGGGGGCAAGCGUUGUUCGGAAUUACUGGGCGUAAAGGGCUCGUAGGCGGCCAACUAAGUCAGACGUGAAAUCCCUCGGCUUAACCGGGGACCUGCAUCUGAUACUGGAUGGCUUGAGUUCGGGAGAGGGAUGCGGAAUUCCAGGUGUAGCGGUGAAAUGCGUAGAUAUCUGGAGGAACACCGGUGGCGAAGGCGGCAUCCUGGACCGACACUGACGCUGAGGAGCGAAAGCCAGGGGAGCAAACGGG
rnacentral:rRNA from 1 species